rnacentral:rRNA from 1 species
GAUGAACGCUAGCGGCAGGCUUAAUACAUGCAAGUCGAGGGGCAGCAGUUUUGUAGCAAUACAGAAGCUGGCGACCGGCAAACGGGUGCGGAACACGUACGCAACCUUCCUUUAACUGGAAGAUAGCCCACCGAAAGGUGGAUUAAUACUCCAUAACAUAUUGAAGAGGCAUCUUUUUGAUAUUAAAGCUCCGGCGGUUAAAGAUGGGCGUGCGUCUGAUUAGGUAGUUGGCGGGGUAACGGCCCACCAAGCCUUCGAUCAGUAGCUGAUGUAGGAGCAUGAUCAGCCACACGGGAACUGAGAAACGGGCCCGACUCCUACGGGAGGCAGCAGUAAGGAAUAUUGGUCAAUGGACGCAAGCCUGAACCAGCCAUGCCGCGUGGAGGAUGAAGGCCCUCUGGGUUGUAAACUUCUUUUCUUUGGGACGAAACCCCUGUUUCUACGGGGACUGACGGUACCAGAGGAAUAAGCACCGGCUAACUCCGUGCCAGCAGCCGCCGUAAGAC